AGCACGGGAGCAAUCCUGGUGGCGAGUGGCGAACGGGUGAGUAAUGUAUCGGAACGUACCUUUCAGUGGGGGAUAACGUAGCGAAAGUUACGCUAAUACCGCAUAUUCUGUGAGCAGGAAAGCAGGGGAUCGCAAGACCUUGCGCUGAUUGAGCGGCCGAUAUCAGAUUAGCUAGUUGGUGAGGUAAAGGCUCACCAAGGCGACGAUCUGUAGCGGGUCUGAGAGGAUGAUCCGCCACACUGGAACUGAGACACGGUCCAGACUCCUACGGGAGGCAGCAGUGGGGAAUUUUGGACAAUGGGGGCAACCCUGAUCCAGCCAUGCCGCGUGAGUGAAGAAGGCCUUCGGGUUGUAAAGCUCUUUCAGCCGGGAAGAAAUCACAUGGGUUAAUACCCUGUGUGGAUGACGGUACCGGAAUAAGAAGCACCGGCUAACUACGUGCCAGCAGCCGCGGUAAUACGUAGGGUGCGAGCGUUAAUCGGAAUUACUGGGCGUAAAGCGUGCGCAGGCGGUUUGUUAAGAUAGGCGUGAAAUCCCCGGGCUCAACCUGGGAACUGCGUUUAUGACUGGCAGGCUAGAGUAUGGCAGAGGGGGGUGGAAUUCCACGUGUAGCAGUGAAAUGCGUAGAGAUGUGGAGGAACACCGAUGGCGAAGGCAGCCCCCUGGGCCAAUACUGACGCUCAUGCACGAAAGCGUGGGGAGCAAACAGGAUUAGAUACCCUGGUAGUCCACGCCCUAAACGAUGUCAACUGGUUGUUGGGUCUUCACUGACUCAGUAACGAAGCUAACGCGUGAAGUUGACCGCCUGGGG
rnacentral:rRNA from 1 species